rnacentral:rRNA from 1 species
UACGUAGGACGCAAGCGUUAUCCGGAAUUAUUGGGCGUAAAGCGUUUGUAGGCGUUUUUAUAAGUCUGAUAUUAAAUUUUUGAGCUCAACUCAAAAAAUGUAUUGGAAACUGCAAAAAUAGAGGAAUGCAGAGGCUAGUGGAAUACCGUGUGUAGGGGUUAAAUCCGUAGAUACACGGUAGAACACCAAAAGCGAAGGCAUCUAGCUGGGCAUUUCCUGACGCUGAGAAACGAAAGCGUGGGUAGCGAACGGG